CCAUCAACAUUCCGUUCCAUAGGCACUCGGGCUGACAGCUGGCCUUCUUUUAAUAGCCACAAGUAUUCUGGGCGAUACCCUAAUCUCAGGGCAUUCUCAGUGAGCACAUACACCGAUUGCAGCCCCACACCCCCAGGUACACCCAGUUUCCAAACACAGAGAGGUACGUGCCACCCACACUUGGUCACAUGCACAGCUUAGAGCAGACACGUUAGGGCACACUCAAUCCCAUGCCCCACAGUGCCACAGGGACAGAAUGCGUGUGCCAGGCACACGGUCACACACAUUUACAUACAUGACGUACAUUCAUCAUAGUACAGUAGAGCCACCACCACCUGCUGUGUACAUGCACAGUCAAGGUCAGACAAACACACACAGACAUUCUCAGGCACAGUCACACUCAGGCCUGCUCAGAACACCUUGGAGUCACGGAGACCCCCAGGACCCCCAGGACUGUAAAGGCUAUGAUUUCACACCAGCAUGAAGGGCAGCUGACCCCAACACCCUGCCCAGCAGUUCCUGCUCCAGGACUCGGCAUCUGCAGCAGCGGGCAGGGAAAUUAAUGCAUCAUGAUGUUGAAACCCACAUUCCAAAGGCUGAACUAAAAUCGACUUCCUAAAGAGAAAUACAAGUGAAGAUGGACUGGCGGAGGACAGCAGUGGGGGUAGGAGUCGAACAUGAGAACACAAGAGGCUUUCCUGAGAAGAGGCUGCUGGAACAGGGGCCUGGCUUAAGCUGGAAGGCAAGCUUUGACAGUAAGAAAAGGGAAGGACAAAGUGAACCAGACACUUCACUGAGUUGGCUGAUGAGUGACAACCGAAUAUCAGGUCUCACUUUCUAAAAUUGAAAUGCAAUUAACAUAAAACAUUGUGUAAGUUUAAGGUGUACAAUGUGUUGAUUUGAUACAUUUAUAUUGCAAUACAAUUGCUAUUGUAGCAUUAGCUGACUGUUCCUCACCUCAUAUAAGUACCAUUUUUCAAAGUGAUGGGAACAAUUAAA